rnacentral:rRNA from 1 species
GACGAACGCUGGCGGCGUGCUUAACACAUGCAAGUCGAACGGAAAGGCCCUGCUUUUGUGGUGUGCUCGAGUGGCGAACGGGUGAGUAACACGUGAGUAACCUGCCCUUGACUUUGGGAUAACUUCAGGAAACUGGGGCUAAUACCGGAUAGGAGCUCCUGCUGCAUGGUGGGGGUUGGAAAGUUUCGGCGGAUGGGGUUGGACUCGCGGCUUAGCAGCUUGUUGGUGGGGUAGUGGUUUACCAAGGCUUGGACGGGUAGCCGGCCUGAGAGGGUGACCGGCCACAGUGGGACUGGGAAAGGGCCCAGACUGCUACGGGAGGCAGCAGUGGGGAAUAGUGCGCGAUGGGCGGAAGCCUGAUGCAGCGACGCCGCGUGCGGGAUGACGGCCUUCGGGUUGUAACCCGCUUUCGCCUGUGACGAAGCGUGAGUGACGGUAAUGUGUAAAGAAGCACCGGCUAACUACGUG